rnacentral:rRNA from 1 species
GACGAACGCUGGCGGCGUGCUUAACACAUGCAAGUCGAACGGAAAGGCCCCAGCUUGCUGGAGUGCUCGAGUGGCGAACGGGUGAGUAACACGUGGGCAAUCUGCCCUGCACUCUGGGAUAAGCCUGGGAAACUGGGUCUAAUACCGGAUAGGACCUUCCGCCGCAUGGGGGUUGGUGGAAAGUUUUGCGGUGGAGGAUGGGCCCGCGGCCUAUCAGCUUGUUGGUGGGGUAAUGGCCUACCAAGGCGACGACGGGUAGCCGGCCUGAGAGGGUGAUCGGCCACAUUGGGACUGAGAUACGGCCCAGACUCCUACGGGAGGCAGCAGUGGGGAAUAUUGCACAAUGGGCGAAAGCCUGAUGCAGCGACGCCGCGUGAGGGAUGACGGCCUUCGGGUUGUAAACCUCUUUCAGCUGGGACGAAGCGCAAGUGACGGUACCUGCAGAAGAAGCACCGGCUAACUACGUG